ensembl:snRNA
ACCACCCUUUUCUUGGGGUUGCGCUACUAUCCAAGGAGUGCAUAGCGAGGGCAGCACUGCUAAUGCCUACACAGCACUCCCAGCUCAGCUGGAGCUUUGCUUUACCUUGGUGCAAUUUUUGGAAAA